UACGUAGGGUGCAAGCGUUGUCCGGAAUUAUUGGGCGUAAAGAGCUCGUAGGCGGUUUGUCGCGUCUGCUGUGAAAUCCCCGAGGCUCAACCUCGGGCCUGCAGUGGGUACGGGCAGACUUGAGUGGUGUAGGGGAGACUGGAAUUCCUGGUGUAGCGGUGGAAUGCGCAGAUAUCAGGAGGAACACCGGUGGCGAAGGCGGUUCUCUGGGCCUGUACUGACGCUGAGGAACGAAAGCGUGGGGAGCGAACAGG
rnacentral:rRNA from 1 species